rnacentral:tRNA from 6 species
GGAUCCUUAGCUCAGCUGGUUAGAGCGUUCGCUUCACACGCGAGAGGUCGCUGGUUCGAAUCCAGUAGGAUCCA